ensembl:lncRNA
AGGAAAUAUUCUAAACUAGUUUGCUUUCACAAUAUGGUUUCUUAGCAAAGAAUCUCAUUAUUUACACAGUGAUGACAUCAAUAUUGCCAUGUUCUGUUUUAAACUGUCACAUGGAACUCACUAACCAAUUGCCACACAGCCAAUGGAACUUCACAGAUCAUGCUGCACUCAUCUUUAUAUUUCUUAAGAUACUUUCAGGUGCACACAACAUAUGUCAACUGAAUUUUUAAGGAUCUUCACUUUCCCCAGUAAUUGGGGCAAAAUGACAAAAGACAGGAAUCAAGAUCUGACAGAGAUCUUCCUUCAUGAAGCUAUGGUUUCUCCAAGUGUGAGAUGAGCAUUAACAUUUGAGGACAUUUCAAGUAUUCUGCUGCAGUACAAAUGUUGGAUAAUCUUCGCAUUGACAACAUCCACUAACUAUAGUUUUUGGGCCCUUCCAAGGAUCUUGGAAGGAAACUGUGUGUGAGCAAAUUUAAUUAUUAAACUUCACUAACUGCACA